CUUGUUUGUUUGAAAACGGUUUGUGGGCAAUGGGGACUGGAGAUUGUGGAUUGCAUGGUAAAGACAGGGCCGCUUCCGCUUCAGAAUGUGUGGGAUCGCUCCAAAGGUACACAAGAAGAUUCGCCACCUAUACGUUUCUAAUCUCCUCUUUCCAAAGAAAGACUGUCCAAUGAAAAAAAAUAUUCAUUUUAAAUGUGCAAACAACCCCACCGCCCUCACCCCCAACAUUAAAAAAAAUACAAUAAAAUCGUUCUAA